ACAGGGAUUGCCCUAGUAACGGCGAGUGAAGCGGCAACAGCUCAAAUUUGAAAUCUGGCCUCGGCCCGAGUUGUAAUUUGUAGAGGAAGCUUUUGGCACGGCACCUGCUGAGUCCCCUGGAACGGGGCGCCAUAGAGGGUGAGAGCCCCGUAUAGCAGGACGCCUAGCCUCUGUAAAGCUCCUUCGACGAGUCGAGUAGUUUGGGAAUGCUGCUCAAAAUGGGAGGUAAAUUUCUUCUAAAGCUAAAUACCGGCCAGAGACCGAUAGCGCACAAGUAGAGUGAUCGAAAGAUGAAAAGCACUUUGAAAAGAGGGUUAAAUAGCACGUGAAAUUGUUGAAAGGGAAGCGCUUGUGACCAGACUCGCGCCGGGCUGAUCAUCCGAGCUUCUGCUCGGUGCACUCUGCCCGGCUCGGGCCAGCAUCGGUUCUCGCGGGGGGAUAAAGGCCCUGGGAACGUAGCUCCUCCGGGAGUGUUAUAGCCCGGGGUGUAAUGCCCUCGCGGGGACCGAGGACCGCGCUUCGGCAAGGAUGCUGGCGUAAUGGUCAUCAGCGACCCGUCUUGAAACACGGACCAAGGAGUCAAGGUUUUGCGCGAGUGUUUGGGUGUUAAACCCGCACGCGUAAUGAAAGUGAACGUAGGUGAGAGCUUCGGCGCAUCAUCGACCGAUCCUGAUGUAUUCGGAUGGAUUUGAGUAGGAGCGUUAAGCCUUGGACCCGAAAGAUGGUGAACUAUGCUUGGAUAGGGUGAAGCCAGAGGAAACUCUGGUGGAGGCUCGCAGCGGUUCUGACGUGCAAAUCGAUCGUCAAAUCUGAGCAUGGGGGCGAAAGACUAAUCGA
rnacentral:rRNA from 2 species